GCGCCCAUAGCUCAGCUGGAUAGAGUACUGCCCUCCGAAGGCAGUGGUCGCAGGUUCGAAUCCUGCUGGGCGCGCCA
rnacentral:tRNA from 1 species